GAUGAACGCUGGCGGCGUGCCUAAUACAUGCAAGUAGAACGCUGAAGGAGGAGCUUGCUCUUCUGGAUGAGUUGCGAACGGGUGAGUAACGCGUAGGUAACCUGCCUGGUAGCGGGGGAUAACUAUUGGAAACGAUAGCUAAUACCGCAUGACAACAGUUAUUGCAUGAUAACUGUUUAAAAGGGGCAACUGCUCCACUACCAGAUGGACCUGCGUUGUAUUAGCUAGUUGGUGAGGUAACGGCUCACCAAGGCGACGAUACAUAGCCGGCCUGAGAGGGUGGUCGGCCAAAACGGGAACGAGACACGGCCCAGAACCCUACGGGAGGGAGGAGUAGGGAAACUUCGGCAAUGGACGGAAGUCUGACCGGGCAACGCCGCGUGAGGGAAGAAGGGUUUCGGAUCGUAAAGCUCUGUUGUAAGGGAAGAACGAGUGUGAGAGUGGAAAGUUCACACUGUGACGGUAUCUUACCAGAAAGGGACGGCUAACUACGUG
rnacentral:rRNA from 1 species